rnacentral:rRNA from 1 species
UACGUAGGUUGCAAGCGUUGUCCGGAAUUACUGGGCGUAAAGAGCUCGUAGGUGGUUUGUCGCGUUGUCCGUGAAAACUCACAACUCAAUUGUGGGCGUGCGGGCGAUACGGGCAGACUGGAGUACUGCAGGGGAGACUGGAAUUCCUGGUGUAGCGGUGGAAUGCGCAGAUAUCAGGAGGAACACCGGUGGCGAAGGCGGGUCUCUGGGCAGUAACUGACGCUGAGGAGCGAAAGCGUGGGGAGCGAACAGG